rnacentral:rRNA from 1 species
AGUGAACGCUGGCGGUAGGCCUAACACAUGCAAGUCGAACGGCAGCACAGUAAGAGCUUGCUCUUACGGGUGGCGAGUGGCGGACGGGUGAGGAAUACAUCGGAAUCUACUUUUUCGUGGGGGAUAACGUAGGGAAACUUACGCUAAUACCGCAUACGACCUACGGGUGAAAGCAGGGGAUCUUCGGACCUUGCGCGAUUGAAUGAGCCGAUGUCGGAUUAGCUAGUUGGCGGGGUAAAGGCCCACCAAGGCGACGAUCCGUAGCUGGUCUGAGAGGAUGAUCAGCCACACUGGAACUGAGACACGGUCCAGACUCCUACGGGAGGCAGCAGUGGGGAAUAUUGGACAAUGGGCGCAAGCCUGCUCCAGCCAUACCGCGUGGAUGAAGAAGGCCUUCGGGUUGUAAAGCCCUUUUGUUGGGAAAGAAAAGCAGCAGGUUAAUACCCCGCUGUUCUGACGGUACCCAAAGAAUAAGCACCGGCUAACUUCGUG